rnacentral:pre_miRNA from 1 species
AUCACUCAGGAAUCUUGUUAAAAUGCAGAUUCUGAUCCAGUAGGUCCUGGGUGGGCCUUGAGUUUCUGCAUUUCUAUCAGGUAUUCAGGUGAUGCCAA